rnacentral:rRNA from 1 species
GACGAACGCUGGCGGCGUGCUUAACACAUGCAAGUCGUACGGUAAGGCCCUUUCGGGGGUACACGAGUGGCGAACGGGUGAGUAACACGUGAGUAACCUGCCCACAACUUUGGGAUAACGCUAGGAAACUGAUGCUAAUACUGGAUAUGUGCUCCUGCUGCAUGGUGGGGGUUGGAAAGCUCCGGCGGUUGUGGAUGGACUCGCGGCCUAUCAGCUUGUUGGUGGGGUAGUGGCCUACCAAGGCGGCGACGGGUAGCCGGCCUGAGAGGGUGACCGGCCACAUUGGGACUGGGAUACGGCCCAGACUCCUACGGGAGGCAGCAGUGGGGAAUAUUGCACAAUGGGCGCAAGCCUGAUGCAGCAACGCCGCGUGCGGGAUGACGGCCUUCGGGUUGUAAACCGCUUUCAGCAGGGACGAAGCUUUUUGUGACGGUACCUGCAGAAGAAGCACCGGCUAACUACGUG